UCGGGAAUUUUGGGCAAUGGGCGAAAGCCUGACCCAGCAACGCCGCGUGAAGGAUGAAGUAUUUCGGUAUGUAAACUUCGAAAGAAUAGGAAGAAUAAAUGACGGUACUAUUUAUAAGGUCCGGCUAACUACGUGCCAGCAGCCGCGGUAAUACGUAGGGACCAAGCGUUGUUCGGAUUUACUGGGCGUAAAGGGCGCGUAGGCGGCAAUUCAAGUCAUCUGUGAAAUCUCCGGGCUUAACUCGGAACGGUCAGAUGAUACUGCUUUGCUAGAGUGCAGAAGGGGCAAUCGGAAUUCUUGGUGUAGCGGUGAAAUGCGUAGAUAUUGGGAAGAACACCAGUGGCGUAAGCGACUUGCUGGCCCGUAACUGACGCUGAGGAACGAAAGCCAGGGGAGCGAAUGGGAUUAGAUACCCCCGUAGUCCCUGAGCGGGCUGGCAAGGCGCAU
rnacentral:rRNA from 1 species